rnacentral:rRNA from 1 species
GACGAACGCUGGCGGCGUGCUUAACACAUGCAAGUCGAACGGUAAGGCCCUUCGGGGUACACGAGUGGCGAACGGGUGAGUAACACGUGGGUGAUCUGCCCUGCACUUCGGGAUAAGCCUGGGAAACUGGGUCUAAUACCGGAUAGGACUCCGGACUGCAUGGUCUGGGGUGGAAAGCUUUUGCGGGGUGGGAUGGGCCCGCGGCCUAUCAGCUUGUUGGUGGGGUGAUGGCCUACCAAGGCGACGACGGGUAGCCGGCCUGAGGGGGGGACCGGCCACACUGGGACUGAGAUACGGCCCAGACUCCUACGGGAGGCAGCAGUGGGGAAUAUUGCACAAUGGGCGCAAGCCUGAUGCAGCGACGCCGCGUGAGGGAUGACGGCCUUCGGGUUGUAAACCUCUUUCAGCAUCGACGAAGCGAAAGUGACGGUAGGUGCAGAAGAAGGACCGGCCAACUACGUGCCAGCAGCCGCAGUAA